AUGCACAAUAAUUUAGAGUGUCCGCUGGUGACAGAUAGAUCAGUUCUUGUCCUGGCUGCAGUCUUCCACUAUGGAUCAAUAAGCUUGAUUGCCGAGCCUUGCCGGACAGCGCAUCUGCACGCCAUGAAGGUUGCCAAAGAGGCCGGCGCGCUUCUCUCGUAUGACCCGAACCUGAGGGAGGCAUUGUGGCCAUCCCUUGAGGAGGCUUGCACUAAGAUCUUGAGCAUCUGGGACCAGGCAGACAUUGUCAAGGUCAGCGAGGUCGAGCUCAAGGACACAACGGCAGCAGCAGCAGCAAGUAAUUCAAGGCCAUGGGAGCUGCUUCUAGUGUAG
rnacentral:rRNA from 1 species